rnacentral:rRNA from 1 species
UACGAAGGGGGCUAGCGUUGUUCGGAAUUACUGGGCGUAAAGCGUGCGCAGGCGGUGAUGUAAGACAGUUGUGAAAUCCCCGGGCUCAACCUGGGAACUGCAGUUGAUACUGGCCGACUGGAGUGCGAGAGAGGGAGGUAGAAUUCCAUGUGUAGCGGUGAAAUGCGUAGAUAUAUGGAGGAAUACCGGUGGCGAAGGCGGCCUCCUGGCUCGACACUGACGCUGAGGUGCGAAAGCGUGGGGAUCAAACAGG